AAGUUUUUUUGCCAUGCUUUGGAUGGAGAAGAGACCAGCAGCCCUGUGAGGUCUCAGGAGGAGCUGGGGCCUGUGGCCACUACGACAGGUCUGACCACUGCAAUGGCUGAACAUCCAGAGCUUCCCUCCAGAAAGUCAUCUUCUCCCCAAAGGAGGAGUGCUGUCAGACUGAUACCCAGGAGGACAGGCAGCAUGGUGGUAGCAGGAGAAGAUGAAAGAAGCCUGAGUUCUGAGUAUUAGAUGGAAGAACUAAAAUGAAUUAGAACUGGAGAAGAAGAUGGGAGAUUGCCCCAGUGGAUGAUAUUAAAAAAAAAGAGAUUAAUUCUAAAAUUCUAAAAUAUGGACCUACAAAAGACCUCAAAUAGACAAAGAAGUCUUGCUCAAGAAGAACUAACUAGGGGCUAUGAAUGUAUGUCAUUUGUUACUGUUUGCCUAGCAUGCACAAAGCCCCUGAGUUCUAUCCCUAGUACCUCAUAAACCAGGUAGGUAUGUGGCUAGUGGCACCAGUCUGUCAUCCCAGCACUUUGGAGGAAGAGCCAUGGGAAGUUCAAGCUCAUCUGUCACUGCAAAGCUACUUUGAGGGUAGCUUGAGAUACACGAGACCAUAUAAUCUUUUUGAAGCAAGAAAUGCCACUCUUCCUAAUUUUAGCGUACAUUACAAAAACAUUACAAAGCUACAUUGUCAAGAACAAUAUGUCACCGGCAUAAAAAUGGGCACAUACAACAGUGGAAGAGCAUAAAAAGCUCAGAAAUAAACUUCUAUGGCUCUAGUCAGCUGAUCUUCAACAAAGAUGCCCUAGGGUGAAGGAAGCAGGUUUAUCGGUUGGAGUUCUCGAGGCAAGCUCUCCGUGGUCAGACUAAGAGGAGAAAAGCAGGCUCCUUGUGAUGUACAUGAACACGCACAUGAACGCAGGAGCCCCUCUUCAUAUUACACAUGGACACAGGAGCCCCACAAGACACAAAACUCGAAGAAGGGCCAGAUGACUGAGACACAUCUCCCACUUCAUCCGGGCAAGGGAAGCAAUUUCAGAAGGAGAGUAAAUGAUUUCUGGUGAGAAUGAAUAGAAAAAAAAAAAAAAAAAAGAACAAAACAAAACAAAAAACAGAAAACAACACAGCCUGGGACCAAGGUCCUCAGGGGUGCAAACCACGGUGGGGACACAUGGAGCAACGCAGCUACUGUGACUGUCCUCCUUCGCAAACAAUAGCCACUCCAGUGACAGCCUUCCAGGAGGAUGUGCUGACCACCCACCCACCCCACCCCCAUCUCUUGUGUACUGAUUCAUCUUCCCUGGUAAUGCAGUUUCGAGGAGAGAAUCGACCGUUCUCCACAUCCCUUGGAACAUCUCCAUCUAGAAGAUAAGGGAACAUAGGAAGUCAAAGCCAGAGGGAAAUGAUCCCACACUUGUUAACUUGGGUGAGUCUUGCAAAGAUUCUGGGAUACAGACAAACAGACAAUUCCAGUUCAGCUGAGGUUAAGUGGCAUAGCCAAGGUUACCCCGGGAACAUAAGCUUGAACCUGAUUGAUUCUAAGUUCCCUUGACUUCCCAUUCUAAAGUAUCAAAUUGCGUCUUGCUGGGCUCCUGCGUUCAUGUAUCUUGAUUUCUGUCCUCUCCCCAUGGCUUCACAAACGUGUAUAUAGAGUUUUCACACCAUUGAUAUAAUAAGAGUAAAUGGUUUCAUAAUGAGAGUGUUAAACUAUUAUUGUGUUUCCGCACUGGACCUUAAGGCUAUGUGCGGAUGGCCCUGGUAACACGCAGGCAGGAAUCUUGAAUUAAUUUCUGCUGCCCUCUUGUGUCAGAGACUAGCAACGACGCCCGAGGAGAAAACAGGCACCUUGGCUUCAGUCUAAUUUCUUUCCUUUUAUUCAUCGAGGGAUCGUGCCACUCUGAGAGAAGAAGUCUGAAUUCUAAAAUUUGAUCUGUUCCAGAGAAUCUUAGCUCGCUCGAAACACUCAGUGAAAGAGAAAAGAAUGUAACUGUUUCCUUAAAACCAACCAUUUCAGUAUGUAAUGGGAUAAAAUUAAAUCAAUACAACACAAUGC
rnacentral:lncRNA from 1 species